rnacentral:rRNA from 1 species
UUGAACGCUGGCGGCAUGCCUUACACAUGCAAGUCGAACGGCAGCACGGGUGCUUGCACCUGGUGGCGAGUGGCGAACGGGGGAGUAAUACAUCGGAACAUGUCCUGUAGUGGGGGAUAGCCCGGCGAAAGCCGGAUUAAUACCGCAUACGAUCUACGGAUGAAAGCGGGGGACCUUCGGGCCUCGCGCUAUAGGGUUGGCCGAUGGCUGAUUAGCUAGUUGGUGGGGUAAAGGCCUACCAAGGCGACGAUCAGUAGCUGGUCUGAGAGGAGGACCAGCCACACUGGAACUGAGACACGGCCCAGACUCCUACGGGAGGCAGCAGUGGGGAAUUUUGGACAAUGGGCGAAAGCCUGAUCCAGCAAUGCCGCGUGUGUGAAGAAGGCCUUCGGGUUGUAAAGCACUUUUGUCCGGAAAGAAAUCCUUGGCCCUAAUACGGUCGGGGGAUGACGGUACCGGAAGAAUAAGCACCGGCUAACUACGUG